rnacentral:rRNA from 1 species
GAAUAUUGGUCAAUGGAGGGAACUCUGAACCAGCCAUCCCGCGUGCAGGAAGAAUGCCCUAUGGGUUGUAAACUGCUUUUAUCUGGGAAGAAAAGUUGGCAUUUAUGCUGAUCUGACGGUACCAGAAGAAUAAGCACCGGCUAACUCCGUUCCAGCCGCCGCGGUAAUCCGGAGGGUGCAAGCGUUAUCCGGAAUUACUGGGUUUAAAGGGUGCGUAGGCGGCGCUGUAAGUCAGUGGUGAAAGGUUCCGGCUUAACCGGAGAAUGGCCUUUGAUACUGCAGUGCUAGGAUUGGGUUGAGGUUAGCGGAAUGUGACAUGUAGCGGUGAAAUGCAUAGAUAUGUCAUAGAACACCGAUUGCGAAGGCAGCUGACUGGACCUUGAUUGACGCUGAGGUACGAAAGCGUGGGGAGCGAACAGG